GGAAAUGAAACAUCAAUAGGUCCUUCUUGCUCGUUCAUUCUUUAGCUGGAGAAUCUGUUGAUGAUGGAUCUGCAUGCGCUGAGGAAGAUUUCAGUGGUUGAGGUGAGAGCCUCCUUUGGAGCUUCACCAACUACUUUCUGUCCUCUGCAUUUGCUGAGGUCCUACCUUGCUGACAAUUUGUGAUGCUUAACAAUGUCUGAGGUCUGUGAUGCUUAAUGCUUGAUUGUGCUGACCAAUCAUUCGGCUGGAAUUCCAGAUGCAAUUGAAAAGAGGGCGCGCGACUACUAGAUUCCUGAUCUGACCAUGAAGUUUGAUCCAUAACUUUACAAUUUAGCUCUCUCGGGUCUUGUUUUCGUGGAGACUUUCAUUAGUAAGGUUUCUUGCGUUGAUGUUAAGCAACUGACUAGUUACUAAUGUAUUCUUGCGGAGAUCAGUACGACGAUUGAUCUUAGGUUGCAUCUGAUAAUUUACAUAGUGAAUAUUGUAACUGGGAGACUGAGAAUGCAGAACAUAGGAAAUAUGAAAUAUAUACAAUACUAUGAUAUGUGAAUGAAUGUAAGUUAUAAUGCUUGGUAGCAUUGCAGAUAUUGGGAUUAAACUCCUCAAGUUAUAGAAAAAGGUAAGAGAAAGCUUUGCCUUUCAUUCCAUGGCUUGAAAUAAUUAGUUUGGAAGGAAAAAGUCUGCUUGUUUUUGAC